UGGGGAAUUUUGGACAAUGGGCGAAAGCCUGAUCCAGCAAUGCCGCGUGUGUGAAGAAGGCCUUCGGGUUGUAAAGCACUUUUGUCCGGAAAGAAAUCCUUGGCUCUAAUACAGUCGGGGGAUGACGGUACCGGAAGAAUAAGCACCGGCUAACUACGUGCCAGCAGCCGCGGUAAUACGUAGGGUGCAAGCGUUAAUCGGAAUUACUGGGCGUAAAGCGUGCGCAGGCGGUUUGCUAAGACCGAUGUGAAAUCCCCGGGCUCAACCUGGGAACUGCAUUGGUGACUGGCAGGCUAGAGUAUGGCAGAGGGGGGUAGAAUUCCACGUGUAGCAGUGAAAUGCGUAGAGAUGUGGAGGAAUACCGAUGGCGAAGGCAGCCCCCUGGGCCAAUACUGACGCUCAUGCACGAAAGCGUGGGGAGCAAAACAGGAUUAGAUACCCUGGUAGUCCACGCCCUAAACGAUGUCACUAGUUGUUGGGGAUUCAUUUCCUUAGUAACGUAGCUAACGCGUGAAGUUGACCGCCUGGGGAGUACGGUCGCAAGAUUAAAACUCAAAUGAAUUGACGGGGUCAUAGCUGUUUCCU
rnacentral:rRNA from 1 species